GGCCGUGUGGCGAAAUGGUUACCGCGUUGCUUUCCGGCCUAUGCUAGGCAAAGAUUGUGGGUUCGACUCCCAUCAUGGUCG